AUUGAACGCUGGCGGCAGGCCUAACACAUGCAAGUCGAACGGUAACAGGCAGAAUCUUGCUUCUUUGCUGACGAGUGGCGGACGGGUGAGUAAUGUCUGGGAAACUGCCUGAUGGAGGGGGAUAACUACUGGAAACGGUAACUAAUACCGCAUAACGUCGCAAGACCAAAGAGGGGGACCUUCGGGCCUCUUGCCAUCGGAUGUUCCCCGAUGGUCUUAGCUGGUAGGUGGGGUAACCGCUCACCUAGUCGACCAUUCCUAGCUCGUCUGAGGGGUUGACCGGCCGCCUGAGAACUGGGACACGGUCCAGAGUACUACGGGAGGCAGCAGUGGGGAAUAGUGCACAAUGGGCGCAAGCCUUAUGCAGCGGUGGCGAGUGUAUGAAGAAGGCCUUCGGGUUGUAAAGUACGUUCAGCGGGGAGGAAGGGAGUAAAGCUAAUACCUAUACUCAUUGACGUUAACCGCAGAAGAAGCACCGGCUAACUACGUG
rnacentral:rRNA from 1 species